rnacentral:tRNA from 1 species
GCUUUUCAUUGAGAAAGAUGGCCCCCUCCCAAGGGGAGGGUCGCACGUUCGAUUCGCGCCCGGGGGCGCCA